UCCGACAUGGACACUUGACGUGGCAUAAGACGAGGUCUUGACGAUCCAGUCGGGGGUUUGAGUCCUAACUGGCCCGUCAAGUCCCUCCCAAUGCCACGGCCUACUUCAUGAACUUCGU
rnacentral:precursor_RNA from 8 species